UAUGUGAUAGAAUUAAAGCCAAUUUCCUCAUUAUUUUUUUGUCCACACUAUUCAACUAUAUUUACAGCUUGUUUGUGUGUGUGUGUGUGUGUGGUGCUAGAGGCCAGUUGGAUUUACGAAAUUAGACAUGUGAUUGGAAAACUAAUCUAAGAGAACCACAUUUCUGGCGUUUGAAUGCAACACUGUGUGGAGGUAUUACGUUGCUAUUGACAAUCACUCCCACAAAUCAUAGGAUGUACUAUACCUUUGGGCACGGAUAGAGCUAUGACAUGGCCAAACUUUGGCCAUGGGCUCCUCUUGACAUUUUUGAGAACCCAUCAACUAUAUGUUGGAUACAUAUUUCCACUUUAUCCAUAUCACUAGGCCCUCGUAGCAAAUUAUUUUGACAUAAUUGCACUUUAGGCUUGGUUAAUGACAUUUGCAUUCCCUUUUACCAACAAGGCUUCAUAAUUUGUCCUUAUUUGCAUUAUAAGAUGAGAACUGUUAGUAUGUUCUCCAAUUAGGACCCAACUUGAAGGUGAUGAGGACAACAAAAAUAAUAAAUUGUGAGAUGAGGGUAUUUUUGGUAGUUGCAGAGACUCUAAGCAAGAGCUGCAUGGUUCGUACAAAGGUCAUUCAUAAUUUCAUGGUAGGUCAUCCAUAAUAGUUUGGUAGUUAAAGGGUCAUCAUGAAUUUAGUACUCGCAUCAAUUCAUCUAGGUGCAUUAAACAAAGUUCAAUGUAUGCAUUAAACACAUUUUAGUUCUUUGCAUCUAAUUGUUAGUAGGUUCAAUGUAUGCAUUUAUUUCUAGGUUCAUUCAUUAUCUUGUUAAAUGUGGUCAUUGAUUAGGUUCAUGUCACUUCGACUUCUAGGAUAUUGAAAGGUCAUUGUUUAGCCUACAAGUAUGGAUGUAAUCUUUCUUUCCAACAUAGAGUUGAUUAAUGAAUUGAGUUUUACAAGGCCAAGGCCAUUGUAAUUGGGGUUUAGGCUACUGUCCUUCCUUGCAGAAACUGCCCAACCCUUACGAGGGUGAAGCACCUCUAUCUCUCUUUCUUCUUUGCGCACACUCUUCUCCUUCUCAUUCUUCCCUUUCUUCUUCCAAGUGCACUUAUUCAAAUAAUAUUCUUAUUUCCCCACCCAAAACCACCACGAUUCUUGUUGUAGGCGGCAAUACUUUGAGUGUCCUAAAACCGUCCUACAUCAGAAGGUGACUAAUUGGUCCUUAUUGAGGUGUCUAAUUAGUCCUUAUUGGUUAAUGGAAUUAUCUUUAAGUACAUGAUGUAUGGGUUUAUGGAACAUUUUUGACUUAGAUGAUGUAGGGUCUAUUUAUUAGCUUUUAGGGAAUGUGUAAAUAUGUGAUGAUAUAUUGCUCUUCUAAGACGUAUCAUACAUGUAUGACAGUUAAUUUUUAACUAGUAUUGGGUUGCAUUUUUGUUUAUCUAUUAGUGAAGUAUUCCUACCAAUGGCAUACUAUUUUAUAGACAAUAUGAUUUUUAACACGUCCUUGGCGUGUUGUGUCUUGCGUUUCUCAAAAGGGAAAAAAAAUCCAUCAUAUGGCGUGCCCAUGUUUUUUAAGAGUAUCUCUGCCUUGCAUGUAGGAAGAAAAAUCUAUUUCCAAAAUGUUAUGAGCACAAAUAAACAAACAUGUGCCUUACUUGACAUUCAAUU